AUGAUCUUGAACCUUACAUUUUGAGGGUCGGAUUUAGGUUUAUGUUUUGCAUGAAAGAAUGGUUCACCAUUCGCGACAUCAACGAUUGGAUAACAUGAUGACCGCUUCAAGAACUAUACAAAUGGAUGGAAUUAAGAAAGGGACUAGAGGAUCUUUUGCACGGAAUAUACGACCUGAACCCUUGAGGGUCGGCCUUGUGGCAAAGUACGUAGUUGAUGUGUCAUGUCA
rnacentral:lncRNA from 1 species